UCCUCGACCCCUGUCCGCUCCCUGGCACUGCCCCUUUCUCUGCCCGCUUGCUGCUUCGCCUCCUGUCCUGGCCCUGCUCGGCCUAAAUUCGGCUCCCCUUCUAAUUCCAUUUUCUGUCGCUCCUCACCCCCCUCAUUUCUUUUCAUCACCCCCUUUAUUUCUGCUGUGCCCCCCGAUUCUCUACCUCACACCCUACCUCCUGGGCCUCGCCCUCCCUCCCCCAUUUUCUCUGCCUCUCUGUACCUUUUUCGCCUCCGACCCCACCCCCUUUUUUCUGCACCCGGCUCUCCCUCCUCAGCCUACGAAGCUCGGGACCGGGACUGGGAUUGAGCAUGAGAAGAGAUUUUUGGUGUCAAGUUCGAGAAGGGUAAAUCAAACCAUGGACUCAGAGGCAUAUUGAGCUAUGCUCAGGCCUCAUGAGGGGAAAAGAUGUCUACUAUGUAUUAUGCACAGAAAAUACAAAGAAAUAUAGGCCCCUUCCCUUCAAGGAAUUUAUAGACAAGUCAUAAGAAGAAAAUAAUGAAAAUAAUGACAUCUUAGAUUUGGUAAGUAUGAAAAGAGUACUAUGUUAAAAUAAGGAAUUGAUCACAGAUAUCUCUUUCUUAUAAACAGAAAUAAUGUGAUUUUGAUAGUUAAAGGUACAAGGCUUUAGACUAGAGGUUGGAAAAUUCUUUUCGGUAAAGGGCUAGAUCCUGAAGAUUGUUGACUUAUAAGCCACACAGAUUUCCAUGUCUGUGUUGCAUUUUACUCUUUGUUGUAGUUGUUUUUCUUUUUAUAAUCCUUUAAAACAUAAAACUGCAUUUAGCUCUUGGGCCAUACAAAAACAGAUGGAAUGCUAUAGUUGCAAACCCCUGACUUUAGAGUUGGACCUGGAUCCCUGUCACUUUGUACCAGUAACUAUGUGUGAUCUUAGUAAAGUUUCUUUCUCCUAUUUAACUCUCAUCUAUAUUGGGGAUAAUGAUUGUAGGCUUAUUGUGAGGAAGAAAUGUUUUUAGCCUUCUACUUGGCCCCUAAGUAAAUGCUUAAUAAAUGAUAGUUGUGCAAUCCAGUGACUUAAGAUUAGGCUGAGAAUAGUUAUUUAAUUGCUCAGUCUUAUAAGGGGCAAACAUAGUAAUUUUUAAUCAAAUAGGGACUUUGAAUUACCCUGAAAAUAUUUGCUCUUUGGUAGCUGAUAUCACUAACUUCAUCUGAUUUGUGGACUGAAGUAAAAAAAAAAAGUAAGAUUACUGAUGGUAUUUCCUGAAGUUUCUAAGUUAAUAAAAGUGAUAGAGUACUUAUGAAGGAAAAACAAAGAUAUCGCUUGUGGAAUAUGAAGUGCAAGAGUGUAAAUCUGAGAGUCAAAUCUGGGAUUGAUUUGGCAUCCUUUAGCCUGUUCCUUUUCUCACUGUGGGUAGCAAGGGCUGUGAACUAAACAGCCUUCUAACUAACUCUCUUUUAAAAAAUGCUUUUAUUUUUUAUUUAUGUAUAUGUGGUGCUGAGAAUCGAACCCAGCGCCUCACAGGUGCUAGGCAAACGCUCUACCACUGAGCCACAGUACCUGCCCACUAACUCACUCUCAAGUCCAGUUCAAGAAUAGAUGGGAUUGGGCCAAAGUAUCUUCGACACUGGAAACUGAAAUUUUCUAACCCUAGUUACUGUUAUUUGUCUCUUCUUAUGACUCUUGUACUGUUAUAGCUGUUGUGUUACUAUAUCAUUUCAAGACCUUUAUUUUUCAGCUUGACUUGGUGAAAAGAGAAUGGUGUAUCUCCAAGGUUUAGCCUACUGGUGAUUUAUUCCUGUAAUAUUUGGUUUAGCUGCUUAACUCCUGGGAAAUUCUAUUUAAAAUGAACCUUUUCUUUAUCUUUUUGAGAAUCAAGGGUAAAAAAAAUUAGAUCGCUAAUGUGGUCAGUUUCUAGUUUGUAAUAUAGACUAAUUGCUCCCAUUACAAACACAAUGUCAAAGCACCCACGUGCUUUUGUUCAUUGGGCUAGCUUUCUUAAAAGGCUUAAGAGUGAGUCACUGUUAGUAAAAAUUAUUGAGGUAGUUAAUUAAGUCCAAAAAAUGAUCAUUCACCAUUGUGUUUUCCAGAUAGUAUACAAAGCAAAAGAUGGAAGAAAUAUUUGUUUUGCCUUAAGUUUAGGGAAUAUGGGGUCUAGGCUUAACUAGUGUGAUUCAUUAAUAAGCAUUUAUUAAAUGUCUAUAAUGUAUGAAAUAUGAUGGGAAAUAUAGGUCUGAGCCCUGCCCACAAAGUACUUACAAUCCAGUGACUUAAUAGAUAAUAUUUAUGGGCAUUACAACAUGUUAGACAUUGUGCUAAGUGCUUUGCAAGUAUUUCUUUUUCUUUGCAGUGCUUGGGAUCUAACUGGCAUGCUACAUAAGUGCUCUACCACUGAGCUACAUCCCUAUCCCUUAAUUAAAAUUUUAUUUUGAGAUAGGAUCUCACCAAGUUGCCUAGGCUGGCUUUAAAAUUUGCCACCUUCCUGCCUAAGCCUCCCAAGUAGUUGGGAUUACAGGUAUACCAUGUAUAACUGCAAUUAUAAUUUCAUUUACACUUCCUAACAUCGCUGUUACGAGAUGGGCACUAUUAUCUUUCCCAUUUAACAGAUGAUGAAAUUGGGGCUUAGAGAAGUUAAGUGACCUCCCUGAUGUCACAUAACUUAGACAUAUUUAGCCAGGAUUCAAACCCACUCAAUCUAGUUCAA